GCAGCUCAUGGGCAGGCUUCCUAAUGGAGUCCACAAAGCAUGCUGGAACUCAUCCACUAGGUUCCUGGAGUCCCAUCAAGGGAGAAGAAGUUUAACAGAGAUGAGGCAUCCUGGAAUAUCCAGGUGGCAACAUGGAGUAGAGAUGAUGACUACUUCUAGGCCAUGAAAAACCAGCAGGAUCCAUGAUGGCUGAGAAAUGACAAUAUUGGUGAAUUAAGUACAUCUCAGGGAGAAGCCCUAUUA
rnacentral:lncRNA from 1 species